GAUGAACGCUAGCGAUAGGCUUAACACAUGCCAGUCGAGGGGCAGCAUGGUCUUAGCUUGCUCAGGCUGAUGGCGACCGGCGCACGGGUGCGUAACGCGUAUGCAACUUGCCUCACAGAGGGGGAUAACCCGUCGAACGACGGACUAAUACCGCGUACACUCUAUGUUGGGCAUCCGAUGUAGAGGAAAUGAACUUCGCUGUGAGAUAGGGAUGCGUCCCAUUGGCUAGUUGGUGAGGUAACGGCUCACCAAGGCGACGAUGGGUGGGGGAACUGAGAGGUAGAACCACCAGACUGGUACUGAGACACGGACCAGACUCGAACGGGAGGCAGCAGUGAGGAAGACUGGUCAAGGAGGGAGAGCCUGAACCAGCCAAGUCGCGUGAAGGAUGACUGGCUUAGGGAUUGUAAUCUUCUUUUAUACAGGAGCAACAAGAGUCACGUGUGGCGCCCUGAAGGUACCGAAUGAAUAAGCAUCGGCUAACUCCGUG
rnacentral:rRNA from 1 species